rnacentral:rRNA from 1 species
UACGUAGGGUGCAAGCGUUAAUCGGAAUUACUGGGCGUAAAGCGUGCGCAGGCGGUUAUGUAAGACAGAUGUGAAAUCCCCGGGCUCAACCUGGGAACUGCAUUUGUGACUGCAUAGCUAGAGUACGGUAGAGGGGGAUGGAAUUCCAGGUGUAGCAGUGAAAUGCGUAGAGAUGUGGAGGAACACCGAUGGCGAAGGCAGAUCUCUGGGCCGUAACUGACGCUGAGGAGCGAAAGCGUGGGGAGCAAACAGG